rnacentral:tRNA from 1 species
GGAGGGGUGGGUGAGUGGCUGAAACCGGCGGUCUUGAAAACCGCAUUCCGGGAAACCGGGACGAGGGUUCGAAUCCUUCCCCCUCCGCCA